rnacentral:lncRNA from 1 species
AUGGCACUAAGACAGAUUAAUAAGGAACUUAGUGAUUUGGCCCAUGACCCUCCAGCACAAUGUUCUGCAGGUCCAGUUGAGGAUGGUAUGUUUCAUUGGCAAGCCACAAUUAUGGGACCUAAUGACAGCCCAUAUCAAAGCGGUGUAUUCUUUUUGGCAAUUCAUUUUCCUACAGACUGCUCCUUCAAACCACCUAAGGUUGCAUGUACAACAAGGAUUUGUCAUCCAAAUAUUAACAGUAAUGGCAGCAUUUGUCUCGAUAUUCUAAGAUCACAGUGGUUGCCUGCUUUAAAACUAUUUCUAAAGUUCUUUUAUCCAUUUGUUCACUGCUAUGUGAUCCAAACCCAGAUGACCCCCUAGUGCCAGAGAGCACACGGAUCCAUAAAAUAGACAGACGUAAAAGUACAACAGAAUAUCUCGGGAAUGGACUCAGAAGAAUGCCAUA